AUUGAACGCUGGCGGCAGGCUUAACACAUGCAAGUCGAGCGGGGUGAUGGUGCUUGCACUAUCACUUAGCGGCGGACGGGUGAGUAAUGCUUAGGAAUCUGCCUAUUAGUGGGGGACAACAUCUCGAAAGGGAUGCUAAUACCGCACACGUCCUACGGGAGAAAGCAGGGGAUCACUUGUGACCUUGCGCUAAUAGAUGAGCCUAAGUCGGAUUAGCUAGUUGGUGGGGUAAAGGCCUACCAAGGCGACGAUCUGUAGCGGGUCUGAGAGGAUGAUCCGCCAAGCUGGGACUGAGACACGGCCCAGACUCCUACGGGAGGUAGCAGUGGGGAAUAUUGGACAAUGGGGGGAACCCUGAUCCAGCCAUGCUGCGUGUGUGAAGAAGGCCUUAUGGUUGUAAAGCACUUUAAGCGAGGAGGAGGCUCUUUUGGUUAAUACCCAAGAUGAGUGGACGUUACUCGCAGAAUAAGCACCGGCUAACUCUGUGCCAGCAGCCGCCGUAA
rnacentral:rRNA from 1 species